GACGAACGCUGGCGGCGCGCUUAACACAUGCAAGUCGAGCGAAGCGGCGGACGGGUGAGUAACACGUGAGUAACCUGCCUUAGACAUUGGGAUAGCCUCGGGAAACCGGGAUUAAUACCAAAUGGUCUAAGAUGUACUCGCGUCCCAUUAGCGAGUUGGUGAGGUAACGGCCUACCACGGCGGUGACGGGUAGCCGGCCUGAGAGGGUGACCGGCCAGAUUGGGAGUGCGAUACGGCACAGACUCUACGGGAGGCAGCUGUGGGGGAUAUGGCACAAUGGGCGAAAGCCUGAGGCGGGGACGCCGCGUGGGGGAUGAAGGUUUUCGGGUUGGAAACCUCUUUCGCAAUCGAACGGGUAGGUGGAGAAGAAGCGCCGGCUAACUACGUGCCAGCAGCCGCGGUAAUUC
rnacentral:rRNA from 1 species